rnacentral:tRNA from 1 species
GGAAGGGUGGCCGAGUUGGUUAUGGCGCCAGGUUAAGGUCAGCUUAACAUCUGUUUCCUGGUGGGGNGCGCGAGUUCGAGUCUCGUCCCUNCUA